AUUGAACGCUGGCGGCAUGCUUUACACAUGCAAGUCGAACGGUAACAGCACUUCGGUGGCUGACGAGUGGCGAACGGGUGAGUAAUACAUCGGAACGUGCCUAGUAGUGGGGGAUAACUACUCGAAAGAGUAGCUAAUACCGCAUGAGAUCUAAGGAUGAAAGCAGGGGACCUUCGGGCCUUGCGCUACUAGAGCGGCUGAUGGCAGAUUAGGUAGUUGGUGGGAUAAAAGCUUACCAAGCCGACGGUCUGUAGCUGGUCUGAGAGGACGACCAGCCACACUGGGACUGAGACACGGCCCAGACUCCUACGGGAGGCAGCAGUGGGGAAUUUUGGACAAUGGGCGCAAGCCUGAUCCAGCAAUGCCGCGUGCAGGAUGAAGGCCUUCGGGUUGUAAACUGCUUUUGUACGGAACGAAAAGCCCUCUUCUAAUACAGGAGGGUCAUGACGGUACCGUAAGAAUAAGCACCGGCUAACUACGUG
rnacentral:rRNA from 1 species